CACAACUGCACAGAUCAACAUUGGUGGUUUGAAGUUGAAGAUGGCGAGGUUUACGCUAACAUUGCUGGCAUUGUCAUUGACUAUCGUAUAGUUGUUGUGCAAGUAGACAAGUGGACCAAAGACGAUACAGUCGCAAUACAAGCUGGAAAACGCCAUCAUGACCAGGAUGCGGACGUGUACUUCGUCAAAGUCAAGAGAUCCCUUGUGGAUGAGAACCUUUUCUGCCACAAGUUUCGUGGAUGUGUGACGGCUGAUCAGUUUUGUGACAAGUAAUAUGAUCUGGACGCGUUUGGACCAUUCAGCAAGAUACACCCGCGAAAAGGAAAAACACUGGAGCUCACGAUCGUCGUGAAGAACAACGCCCAUUCCAGACAAGGAACUGGUGAUUCGACUGGUCAUGGCGAGGAGACAUGUGACUGCGGAGGCGCUUGCAACUGCCACACUCCCACGUCAAACAAAGAGGAGAACUGUGAUCUUCCAGUGGGUCGCAUCAAAGAUGCCAUUUGAUCAAAACGUGCGUUCGCUGACGAUGUGCCGUCUUGAGUGCCGUUUAGAAGGAAUUGGAACCUUUUUCAUGGACCGAGACCCCGCGCAGCAAGAUUCUCCAACACGUCACCUGCACGCUUGAAUCCUCCCCACUGCGACUGAUGCUCCGUUCUCGAGCACUGUCCAAAACCGUCCCCAUUGCAACCUUUAUAUU